GAGACCAUUAGAAAUAACUUAAGUGCUAACAUUGGAACAAUCCAGAGGAGAACCGCAUGGCUUCUGGGCAAGGGUGACACACAAGUUAUGGCAGCAUUACAUGUUUUU